AGCGGUCCCUUCGGGGAUAGCGGCGGACGGGUGAGUAACACGUAGGCAACCUGCCUGCAAGACCGGGAUAACUAUCGGAAACGAUAGCUAAGACCGGAUAGCUGGUUUCCUCGCAUGAGGGAAUCAUGAAACACGGGGCAACCUGUGGCUUGCAGAUGGGCCUGCGGCGCAUUAGCUAGUUGGUAGGGUAACGGCCUACCAAGGCGACGAUGCGUAGCCGACCUGAGAGGGUGAUCGGCCACACUGGGACUGAGACACGGCCCAGACUCCUACGGGAGGCAGCAGUAGGGAAUCUUCCGCAAUGGACGCAAGUCUGACGGAGCAACGCCGCGUGAGUGAUGAAGGUUUUCGGAUCGUAAAGCUCUGUUGCCAGGGAAGAACGCCAUGGGGAGUAACUGCCCUGUGGGUGACGGUACCUGAGAAGAAAGCCCCGGCUAACUACGUGCCAGCAGCCGCGGUAAUACGUAGGGGGCAAGCGUUGUCCGGAAUUAUUGGGCGUAAAGCGCGCGCAGGCGGUCAUUUAAGUUUGGUGUUUAAGCCCGGGGCUCAACCCCGGAUCGCACUGAAAACUGGAUGACUUGAGUGCGGGAGAGGAAAGUGGAAUUCCACGUGUAGCGGUGAAAUGCGUAGAGAUGUGGAGGAACACCAGUGGCGAAGGCGACUUUCUGGACCGUAACUGACGCUGAG
rnacentral:rRNA from 1 species